UACCCACUACAAUAAGAUGCUUCUCUGACC
rnacentral:piRNA from 1 species